rnacentral:rRNA from 1 species
CCCUUAGACGUUCUGGGCCGCACGCGCGCUACACUGACGGAGGCAACGAGCUUUCCUUUACCGAAAGGUACGGGUAAUCUUUUGAAACUUCGUCGUGCUGGGGAUAGAUCCUUGCAAUUUUUGAUCUUAAACGAGGAAUGCCUAGUAAGCGCAAGUCAUCAACUUGCGUUGAUUACGUCCCUGCCCUUUGUACACACCGCCCGUCGCUACUACCGAUUGAAUGGUUUAGUGAGGCCUUCGGAUCCGCGACUCGUUUGUGGAGAAGUUGGACAAACUCAGUCAUUUAGAGGAAGUAAAAGUCGUAACA